rnacentral:rRNA from 1 species
GACGGAGGAUGCAAGCGUUAUCCGGAAUGAUUGGGCGUAAAGCGUCCGCAGGUGGCAGUUCAAGUCUGCUGUCAAAGACCGGGGCUUAACUUCGGAAAGGCAGUGGAAACUGAACAGCUAGAGUAUGGUAGGGGCAGAGGGAAUUCCUGGUGUAGCGGUGAAAUGCGUAGAGAUCAGGAAGAACACCAGUGGCGAAGGCGCUCUGCUAGGCCGUAACUGACACUGAGGGACGAAAGCUAGGGGAGCGAAUGGG